rnacentral:rRNA from 1 species
GGGUCUUUGGGCCACCUCCAUCCGUGUCUAUUGUACCCUGUUGCUUGGGCGGGCCCGCCGCUUGUCGGCCGCCGGGGGGGCGCCUCUGCCCCCCGGGCCCGUGCCCGCCGGAGACCCCAACACGAACACUGUCUGAAAGCGUGCAGUCUGAGUUGAUUGAAUGCAAUCAGUUAAAACUUUCAACAAUGGAUCUCUUGGUUCCGGCAUCGAUGAAAAACGCAGCGAAAUGCGAUAACUAAUGUGAAUUGCAGAAUUCAGUGAAUCAUCGAGUCUUUGAACGCACAUUGCGCCCCCUGGUAUUCCGGGGGGCAUGCCUGUCCGAGCGUCAUUGCUGCCCUCAAGCCCGGCUUGUGUGUUGGGUCGCCGUCCCCCUCUCCGGGGGACGGGCCCGAAAGGCAGCCGCGGCACCGCGUCCGAUCCUCGAGCGUAUGGGGCUUUGUCACAUGCUCUGUAGAUUGGCCGGCGCCUGCCGACUUUUCCAACCAUUCUUUCCAGGUUGACCUCGGAUCAGGUAGGGAUACCCGCUGAACUUAACAUAUCAUAAGCGGAGGA